UUUUUAAAAAAAGCCUUGCCCCAAUGGCAACAGACAUGUUUGACUGAGAUAGGAAUCUUUCAACCUAGCCAAUUCGAGGAAAAACACAACACAACCGUUGUUCCCCUGAGGAUGAAAUUGGUGGGUGGGCGUGGGGCUGAGGAGCUUCGUUCCCCAGGAGGAACUCAAUGAGCCGCUUCUCAUUCACAUCAAAAGAACCCAAUGGAGGUGGCUUGAACAUCUCUUUCAGAUGUCUCCACGAUAACUCCCUAGAAAAGGCCCCGGGGAAGACCCAAGACAUGUUGGAACAAUUGCGUCUCUCAGCUUGUCUGCGAGCGCCUUGAGGUCCCCCUGGUUGAACUAGACAAGGUUUCUGUGAAGAGGGAAGCCUAGGCAUCUCAGCCUUAAGUCCCACUCCAACUAUACAUUUUUUUUAUAGAAAAAUUGUUCCCAGUGGUCUUUUAAUUAUGAUUAAAGUGUUUUUAGCAAAAAUCAAAACCCCUGUGUUGUUGUUUUUUUUUUAUUAUUAACAUUCUCUGCAGCACCCCAGGAAUACAUUGGAAAUUCGCCUCUGAGUUUUGGGCAUGACUGUUACCCUACAUUUUUAUUCCAUCAAUCCUUUGAAGCUAGCAUUAUGGUAACAAAAAAAUGGUGAGCAAUAUAAGAGUUAUCCAGCCACAAAGUUUAGACCCAGAUAGUAGCUCAGACGAGGGUAAAAAAUAUGCUAAUGUAUAUUUAUUUGUCUGCAAGUGGAGGGUUUAGAGUUGGACCAGAGCAGGGAGACCUUGACCCACCAAUGCCAGUUGCUGUGUCACAUACCUGAGCUUUUUUCAAAUUCCAAGUUGUUUUUGUCAUGCUCCUGAUCCAUCAGAAUUUUAAUAAAGAAAUUUCUUAGAAAUGCAGUUUUAAUUUGAAAUUAUUUAAUACAUGUCCUCCAUCACGAGAAAAAUGCUACAAGAACAUGUUAAAAACACCUUGGAGUGAGUCUUAAAACUCAUACCCUGUGACUUGGCUAUGGAUUACCAAAAGAAUAAAAAUAAAUGGAUGGAUGGCAGAUGGACUUCCCUUGAGUGUUCUGCUCAUUUUAAAGACAGUUCAGAUUGGACCACACUCUUGGGACUAACAGAUCGCUUUCUAGCUAUAUCUAAUGACUC